UACGUAGGGUGCAAGCGUUAAUCGGAAUUACUGGGCGUAAAGCGUGCGCAGGCGGUUGUGCAAGACCGAUGUGAAAUCCCCGGGCUUAACCUGGGAAUGGCAUUGGUGACUGCACGGCUAGAGUGUGUCAGAGGGGGGUAGAAUUCCACGUGUAGCAGUGAAAUGCGUAGAGAUGUGGAGGAACACCGAUGGCGAAGGCAGCCCCCUGGGCCAACACUGACGCUCAGGCACGAAAGCGUGGGGAGCAAACAGG
rnacentral:rRNA from 1 species